rnacentral:rRNA from 1 species
GAUGAACGCUGGCGGCGUGCCUAAUACAUGCAAGUCGAGCGAACAGACGAGUACCUUGCUCCUCGGACGUUAGCGGCGGCCGGGUGAGUAACAAGUGGAUAACCUACCUAUAACACUGUGAUAACUUCCGGAAACCGGAGCUACUACCGGAGAAUAUAUUGAACCGCAUGGUUCAAUAGUGAAAGACGGAUUUUCUGUCACUUAUAGAUGGAUCCGCGCCGCAUUAGCUAGUUGGUAAGGUAACGGCUUACCAAGGCAACGAUGCGUAGCCGACCUGAGAGGGUGGUCGGCGACAAUGGAGGUGAGGAGCGGUCGAGACGCCUACGGGGGGAAGCAGUAGGGAAGCAUCCGGCAUGGGCGAAAGCAUGCCGGAGCAGCGCCGCGUGAGUAAUGAUGGUCUUCGGCUCGUAGAACUCUGUUAUUAGGGAAGAAGCAAUGUGUAAGUAACUAUGCACGUCUUGACGGUACCUAAUCAGAAAGCGACGGCUAACUACGUG